GUAGAGAAAUGUGUUGUUAGCGGCUUACUGUUUACAGUGGCAUUCCAAUUGUUUAUGAUAUUUUGUGGGUUUUGCCUCUUGUUGGGCUGGUGAUGAUGAGAUGGGCUUAUGGUUUUGAAGAGUUGAAUGUGACUGAGAUUUCAUAUGUGAAAGCUUAUGGUGUGUCCAUCGGGUUGUUGAUGGUGGGCCCCAGUCUUCUUCAAGGAGCUGCUGCAAAAGGAGCUGUAAUAGUGCAUUUCGAUAUUUAGAUUUUUUUAGCAAUAGUAUUUUGGUGAACUCUUUUUUCUUUUUCUUUUUUUCCUUUAUCUAUCCCAUGGAUUGUUGAUACUGGGUUUUUUUUUUUUUGGUGUGUGAUAUUUGCUAAUGGCAUCAAUUUUAGAUAGUCAUGAAAUGUGAGGGCCAUCCUGGCAGAAUCAUCCAGCUUCUCUAGCAGAUGGCAGCCACACCUGAUCAUC